rnacentral:rRNA from 1 species
CAGUUCGGAUCGGAGUCUGCAACCCGACUCCGUGAAGCUGGAUUCGCUAGUAAUCGCGCAUCAGCCAUGGCGCGGUGAAUACGUUCCCGGGCCUUGUACACACCGCCCGUCAAGCCAUGGAAGCCGGGGGCGCUUGAAGUGCGUUGCCGCAAGGCGCGCCCUAGAGCGAAACCGGUGACUGGGGCUAAGUCGUAACAAGGUAAC